rnacentral:ncRNA from 1 species
CCGUAAGCAUUGAUAAGGACAUGAAUAACUUUUCAUUUCUACUCAGAGACUAGGGCCUUUGGCUGCGAGCCCUUUAGAAACAAAGUUGAUUUACCACCUUUGAGCUAUUGCGGGGAAAUGCUUUGCAGACUAUCCGUAAUCGGGAAAUCCGUUAUCGUUUUUGAGCACGACGUUUUUUUGUCGUGAAAUUAGGGUGGUACCACGACCGCACUCGUCCCUUCU